rnacentral:rRNA from 1 species
UGUUUACAUGGAAGCGUUCUUAGCGGCGGACGGGUGGGUAACACGUGGGUAACCUGCCUCAAAGUGGGGGAUAGCCUUCCGAAAGGAAGAUUAAUACCGCAUAAGCCUACAGUGCCGCAUGGCACAGCAGGAAAAGGAGCAAUCCGCUUUGAGAUGGACCCGCGGCGCAUUAGCUAGUUGGUGAGGUAGCGGCUCACCAAGGCGACGAUGCGUAGCCGACCUGAGAGGGUGAUCGGCCACAUUGGAACUGAGACACGGUCCAGACUCCUACGGGAGGCAGCAGUGGGGAAUAUUACAUAGUGGGCGAAAGCCUGAUGCAGCAACGCCGCGUGAGUGAUGAAGGCCUUCGGGUCGUAAAGCUCUUUGAUCAGGGAUGAUAAUGACAGUACCUGAAAAACAAGCCACGGCUAACUACGUGCCAGCAGCCGCGGUAAUACGUAGGUGGCGAGCGUUGUCCGGAAUUACUGGGCGUAAAGGAUGCGUAGGUGGAUACUUAAGUGGGAUGUGAAAUCCCCGGGCUCAACCCGGGAACUGCAUUCCAAACUGGGUAUCUAGAGUGCAGGAGAGGAAAGCGGAAUUCCUAGUGUAGCGGUGAAAUGCGUAGAUAUUAGGAGGAACACCAGUGGCGAAGGCGGCUUUCUGGACUGUAACUGACACUGAGGCAUGAAAGCGUGGGUAGCAAACAGGAUUAGAUACCCUGGUAGUCCACGCCGUAAACGAUGGGUACUAGGUGUAGGAGGUAUCGACCCCUUCUGUGCCGUCGUUAACACAAUAAGUACCCCGCCUGGGGAGUACGGUCGCAAGACUAAAACUCAAAGGAAUUGACGGGGGCCCGCACAAGCAGCGGAGCAUGUGGUUUAAUUCGAAGCAACGCGAAGAACCUUACCUAGACUUGACAUCUCCUGAAUUACCCUUAACCGGGGAAGCCCUUCGGGGCAGGAAGACAGGUGGUGCAUGGUUGUCGCCAGCUCGUGUC